UCCCUGGUAGCUCAGUGGUUGUAAGCGUCUGCCUGCAAUGCGGGAGACCUGGGUUCGAUCCCUGGGUUGGGAA
rnacentral:tRNA from 1 species